AUCCUCAUUAAACAUUACGAGGCUGCUAUCACAGCUACAGUUUGUUUAAUCCCGGUCUGAGCGGUUUACCGUGAUGUUUCUGUGUAAUUGGCUGGUUCAGACGGCUCAUUUACCGGACACGCAGUUUGGACCAUCUUUCAUCCUGCUGGGUUAGUUAUUGUGGAGGUGUCGGGAAGUCGAUACAAAUCAGAUCCUAGUCCCUGGAGCUUCAACUUGUCAGCAGUCGUCUGUGCUGUAACACGGAUCGUGUGCAGCACGGUGCAGUCCAAGUGUAAAUCAAAAAAA